GGACGGGUGAGUAACGCGUGAGAAUCUAGCUUCAGAAUGGGGACAACAGAGGGAAACCGCUGCUAAUACCCGAUGUGCCGAAAGGUGAAAGAUUUAUCGUCUGAAGAUGAGCUCGCGUCCGAUUAGCUAGUUGGUAGAGUAAGAGCCUACCAAGGCGACGAUCGGUAGCUGGUCUGAGAGGAUGACCAGCCACACUGGGACUGAGACACGGCCCAGACUCCUACGGGAGGCAGCAGUGGGGAAUUUUCCGCAAUGGGCGAAAGCCUGACGGAGCAAGACCGCGUGAGGGAGGAAGGCUCUUGGGUUGUAAACCUCUUUUCUCUGGGAAGAAGACAAUGACGGUACCAGAGGAAUCAGCAUCGGCUAACUCCGUGCCAGCAGCCGCGGUAAUACGGAGGAUGCAAGCGUUAUCCGGAAUUAUUGGGCGUAAAGCGUCCGUAGGUGGCAAUUCAAGUCUGCCGUUAAAACCAGUGGCUUAACCACUGACAGGCGGUGGAAACUGAAUAGCUAGAGUGUGGUAGGGGUAGAGGGAAUUCCCAGUGUAGCGGUGAAAUGCGUAGAGAUUGGGAAGAACACCGGUGGCGAAAGCGCUCUGCUGGACCACAACUGACACUCACAGGACGAAAGCUAGGGGAGCGAAAGGGAUUAGAUACCCCUGUAGUCCUAGCC
rnacentral:rRNA from 1 species